rnacentral:tRNA from 1 species
AAAAUCCGUUGGUUCCAAAGG